rnacentral:rRNA from 1 species
UCUGGCUCAGAUUGAACGCUGGCGGCAUGCCUUACACAUGCAAGUCGAACGGCAGCGGGGGAAAGCUUGCUUUCCUGCCGGCGAGUGGCGAACGGGUGAGUAAUACAUCGGAACGUGCCCUGUAGUGGGGGAUAACUAGUCGAAAGAUUAGCUAAUGCCGCAUACGACCUGAGGGUGAAAGUGGGGGACCGCAAGGCCUCAUGCUAUAGGAGCGGCCGAUGUCUGAUUAGCUAGUUGGUGGGGUAAAGGCCUACCAAGGCGACGAUCAGUAGCUGGUCUGAGAGGACGAUCAGCCACACUGGGACUGAGACACGGCCCAGACUCCUACGGGAGGCAGCAGUGGGGAAUUUUGGACAAUGGGGGCAACCCUGAUCCAGCAAUGCCGCGUGUGUGAAGAAGGCCUUCGGGUUGUAAAGCACUUUUGUCCGGAAAGAAAUCGCACUGGUUAAUACCUGGUGUGGAUGACGGUACCGGAAGAAUAAGGACGCUNACUCGUCCACAGCCCCGGUAC